AUGGGUCGGGGCUCCAACGUUGGAAGGCAUCUUUGCGCUUGGGGCAAUGACGCAGCUAGUGAGGUAAUACCGAGGCGCGUCAAUUGCUGGUUGAAAACUAUUUCCAAACCCCCUCUUUGGCCCUCCCUUUGUGGAGGGCCACUGAGAAUUUCUGAAAGGGCUCCCUCUCCUUCGGGUGAGGGUAAAGCCCUACAAUACCCAAAUUUAAAUCUUUUUCUUGCCGCUGGGUUUAUCAGCCGUAGCGUUUGA
rnacentral:snRNA from 1 species